CGCGUAGGCGGUUCGACAAGUCAGAUGUGAAAGCCCUGGGCUCAACCCGGGAAUUGCGUUUGAGACUGUUGAGCUUGAAUUCGGGAGAGGUUGGUAGAAUUCCCAGUGUAGAGGUGAAAUUCGUAGAUAUUGGGAAGAAUACCCGUGGCGAAGGCGGCCAACUGGACCGACAUUGACGCUGAGGCGCGAAAGCGUGGGGAGCAAACA
rnacentral:rRNA from 1 species